rnacentral:lncRNA from 1 species
UUCUCUUUAACGUUUUCGGGCCGUUUUCUGUUUUCGAUUUUUCAAAACGGUGAAAAUGUGUUCUCUUUCCCGUUUUCUAAAACGAAUUUUCGAAAACGAAAAAAAAAAUUUUGUGAAGAAAACACAAAACGACUUUUUUGUCAUUUUGGGCGUUUUCAGUGUAAAACUUGAAAAAAUUGAAAACACGGGAAACACCCUCUAUUUUUUUAUUUUUUUAUUUUAUUUUAUUAUUACUUUUUUUUUGAGGAGGUGGUGUGGUGAUUCUCAAAAUUUAAAAAAAAAUAA